UACGAAGGGGGCUAGCGUUGCUCGGAAUCACUGGGCGUAAAGCGCACGUAGGCGGAUCUUUAAGUCAGGGGUGAAAUCCCAAGGCUCAACCUUGGAACUGCCUUUGAUACUGGGGAUCUCGAGUCCGGAAGAGGUUGGUGGAACUGCGAGUGUAGAGGUGAAAUUCGUAGAUAUUCGCAAGAACACCAGUGGCGAAGGCGGCCAACUGGUCCGGUACUGACGCUGAGGUGCG
rnacentral:rRNA from 1 species